rnacentral:lncRNA from 1 species
CUGCAAUUGGUGGUAAGGUUGUGAAACUGUAAGCCCGCCUGAGCAGAAGAGGCAAAGGGCAGAGUAGGAGAGUUUCAGGAGGUAAAGUCAGAAGCCGACGGGACUGCGGGUUGACUUUGACUGAAGGCAGCAGGAUUGCUCAAGAGCAGAAUCCGACAAACACCAAGAGAAAAAGGAAACGUUUCAGCAGAGUCAGCCACCCCCAGCAUCUUUCUUCAAAACCCAACAAAGAAAUCCCCUCUGCUGGAACUGUUUGCUUUCAAAAGCGAAAAAGGAACUGAGGCUGCUAUCUCGGAGUUCUUUACAUCGAGGAAGUCACAUGGGUGCAUGGCUGAACAAUGUUUGCUGGGGGGUUGUUGAAGAUGUAAAUUCUUUGCCCCUCGGAAGAGUCCUCUGUGAUCCGAACAGUCUUGAAGGAACCUCGCCCGACCUUGCGGCUUUUCAUCUUCAACCUCUCUCGUGCAUAGUUUAAGACCCUAAGCCACAUUGGCUACUGCUUCUUUUUUUAGAGACUCUCAGCAACCAGUGACUUUGAUCUGCAUCACACUUGAGACGAUUUUCUGAAAGGUCAAAGGCGACUAGACUACCCCUUUGUCACUGUCUCUGAAGCACUCUUAUCACCUUAGUGACUCCCCAGAGCCUCUCGCCUUUGACCUUGUUCUUUAGCGCUUUUUUCCUUGGGGGAGGGGAGAGUGAAUUCGUUAAUCCCAGGCAGGCUGGAGCUUUCUCUGUCCUUGUAUUUGAAAUUUAAGGCAGCUCUCCCAAGCCAGCGGCGAGUUGGGCUUAGCUUUGUUUUUGUUUUGCUUUGCUUCCUUGGCUAAUUGUUUGGUAGAGAUGGGUCCCGGAGCAGCUUGGUGGCUUGCAAGUUCCGCGAGAGAGUGGAAUCCCAGCUUUCCAGCUCUUCUCUAGCUAGGGUCCACGUGGUCUGACACAGAAAAAUAAAAAUAAAAUAUUCAGGCUUCAUAAGUACUUGAAGAUUGAUUGUAGGUGGAAGUGCUCACUCAGACCUUGAAAGUCGACCCGCUGCAGUUAAUCGCUGGCACCAUCUCAUUUCCCCUUACCCCCCAACCCACCCCCUUAUCCGCUUUCAGUUCCUCUUUUCC